AUGCCAGCGCCACGGCACUAGAUGUAGAAAAUAGUAGUUAAUGUAAUAUAUUUAUUAAAGUUAUGUUUAUGUAUGUUAAUAAUCUAAUUUUUGUUAGUUAAAUGUUAAAUGUAUAAUAAUUGUUUAAUGUUAGUAGAAACUUUUAGGAUAAUUGUAUUUUGUUGGCACAAAUUUAUUAGCGCCAUCUGUGUGUGGGGCUUGGCAACAACAAAAAUAUUUUUGCGAUAGAUGCAUCUUGAGGCAGUGAAUGUCAAAGAAUGGGAAGUUAAGAAUGCAUCAAAGAUUAACGCCCUAUUGACAAGCCAUUUUUUUCUCAUUCGUGCUGGUCAUGCAAUCUCAAAAAGGCAUUUUCUGAAUUGGUUGUGACAAGUCGCACCAGGAAAAAAAUACAUAUAUAAAUUGAGAAUUAAGUGCGACGGUCAUAAAUAUUCAGCCAACAGAAAUAUUCAGUUAAAUAAAAAGUGCAUAGUGCGAAUAGAGAAAGUGUGUGAAAACACCCCUUUUUUUUCGGUCAGCUGCCGAUAGCCAACAGGCGGGAACAAAAUUUGGAGAUUUUCUGGUGCCGUCCAAAAAGGCAGGACGGCACGUAGUUCCAUAUUGUACUUUUGGAUGUUGUUGGUGCUUACGAAGCUAAGCCACCAAGCAAAGCUCAUCCACUCCGCUUCGACAGCCGGCAGUACAAAGCUUGUACUAAAGCUUUGAAAGCUUCUGCACGACUGCUGCGAAAGCUGCAGCAGAUCAGCUGAUAGCUGCAAGCGGGAGUCAGCACUGCAAUUGGGCACAAAUUUGGAGGAGCGAUUUACAGCCCUACCGCACCGCCGCCCCCGCAAUUUGGAUUGGGAGUUGUCCCUAAGAGGGAAAGCAAGGAGAACGGCAACAUUACCCCAGAUGUGGUAUAUGCGCCAGUGACCGUGCGACCACCAGAGGAAAUGUCUCCGAAGAUGAUCGUGCCAUAGAUGAUUGUGUUGUUCAGUAUUUGUAUUUCGACAUUGUUCAUUUUGGGCCUUCUGCCACUUAGUUAGUGCUUCUCUGUAAUAUAUUUGGUUCAUUUGAAGUCUUGUUUGCGUUCAUACAUAUAUGUUGAAUGGAAGAAAAACUGUGAUGUAAAUUUACAUAUGAUUUCGUUGUAUAAUAUACUAUGUAUCAAAUGUAAAUGAACUUCAUUAGUUACCAUAAGUCGUUCUACAUAUGUCUUGUUCGUAAAUACUUUUGUUUU